CAGCCGCCACGGUAAUACGUAGGGUGCGAGCGUUAAUCGGAAUUACUGGGCGUAAAGCGUGCGCAGGCGGUUAUAUAAGACAGUUGUGAAAUCCCCGGGCUCAACCUGGGAACUGCAUCUGUGACUGUAUAGCUAGAGUACGGUAUAGGGGGAUGGAAUUCCGCGUGUAGCAGUGAAAUGCGUAGAUAUGCGGAGGAACACCGAUGGCGAAGGCAAUCCCCUGGACCUGUACUGACGCUCAUGCACGAAAGCGUGGGGAGCAAACAGGAUUAGAUACCCGGGUAGUCCCUGUCUCUUAUAC
rnacentral:rRNA from 1 species